AUGGCGUCGGCUGGAAGGAGACGCCAUCACCUGGAUUUCCGCGUGGGAACCGACGCCAUCACCUGGAUUUCUGCGUGGGAAGGGACCUCGAAUGUGGGACCCCAGCCCCCUCCAGCUUGAAAUCGUAACCUCCACAGCCACGGGGACGCCCUGCACCUAUUCCCACGGGACAGGCUGGACCCAGAGACUCUGGACCCGGGGCACCCCCUUGAGUAGAGACCCGCCCUCUGACUGAUGGACGCCGCUGACCUGGGGUCAGACCCGUGGGCUGGACCCCUGCCCACCCCGCAGGAACCCUGAGGCCUAGGGGAGCUGCCGAGCCUUCGGUGUCUGCAUGCGGGGAGUGGUGGGCUGGUUCACCUACCUCACAGGGCUGUUGUGAGGGCACUGUGAUGCGGCAAAGCACAGGGCUUGGCACACCCCACUGUGCUCUCAAUAAAUGUGUUUCCUGUCUUAACAAA